rnacentral:rRNA from 1 species
AGUUGAUCCUGGCUCAGGAUGAACGCUAGCGAUAGGCUUAACACAUGCAAGUCGAGGGGCAGCACGGUGUAGCAAUACACUGGUGGCGACCGGCGUACGGGUGCGUAACACGUAUGCAACCUACCCGCUAUUGGGGGAUAACCCGGCGAAAGUCGGACUAAUACCCCAUAUUAUUCUUACCGGGCAUCCGGUAGGUCUGAAAGAUUUAUCGAUUGCGGAUGGGCAUGCGGAUGAUUAGCUAGUAGGUGGGGUAACGGCUCACCUAGGCGACGAUCAUUAGGGGUUCUGAGAGGAAGGUCCCCCCACACUGGAACUGAGACACGGUCCAGACUCCUACGGGAGGCAGCAGUGAGGAAUAUUGGUCAAUGGGCGCUAGCCUGAACCAGCCAAGUCGCGUGAAGGAUGACAAGAUCUAUGGUUUGUAAACUUCUUUUGCAGGGGAGUAAAGUGCGACACGUGUGUUGUAUUGCAAGUACCCUGCGAAUAAGCAUCGGCUAACUCCGUGCCAGCCGCAGC